rnacentral:rRNA from 1 species
GAUGAACGCUGGCGGCGUGCCUAAUACAUGCAAGUCGAGCGAACAGACGAGGAGCUUGCUCCUCUGAUGUUAGCGGCGGACGGGUGAGUAACACGUGGAUAACCUACCUAUAAGACUGGGAUAACUUCGGGAAACCGGAGCUAAUACCGGAUAACAUGUUGAACCGCAUGGUUCAACAGUGAAAGACGGUCUUGCUGUCACUUAUAGAUGGAUCCGCGCCGCAUUAGCUAGUUGGUAAGGUAACGGCUUACCAAGGCAACGAUGCGUAGCCGCCCUGAGAGGGUGAUCGGCCACACUGGAACUGAGAAACGGUCCAGACUCCUACGGGAGGCAGCAGUAGGGAAUCUUCCGCAAUGGGCGAAAGCCUGACGGAGCAACGCCGCGUGAGUGAAGAAGGUCUUCGGAUCGUAAAACUCUGUUAUUAGGGAAGAACAAAUGUGUAAGUAACUAUGCACGUCUUGACGGUACCUAAUCAGAAAGCCACGGCUAACUACGUG